rnacentral:rRNA from 1 species
UACGUAGGGUGCAAGCGUUAAUCGGAAUUACUGGGCGUAAAGCGUGCGCAGGCGGUUUUGUAAGACUGACGUGAAAUCCCCGGGCUCAACCUGGGAACGGCGUUGGUGACUGCAAGGCUAGAGUUUGGCAGAGGGGGGGUAGAAUUCCACGUGUAGCAGUGAAAUGCGUAGAUAUGUGGAGGAACACCGAUGGCGAAGGCAGCCCCCUGGGUCAAAACUGACGCUCAUGCACGAAAGCGUGGGAGCAAACAGG